rnacentral:ncRNA from 2 species
GGGCUCGCACCCGACGACGGUGCAGGAAGCCGGUGCGAGUCCGGCGCGGUCCCGCCACUGUCAUCGGGGAGUGCGUCCCCACCCACGGUCACGGCCCCACCCGGGGCGGGAAGGCCGGGACGCGCGUCGAUCCGGGAGCCAGGAGACUGGCCGUCGUCGCAGGAGAUCC